GUAGGGAAUAUUGGGCAAUGGAGGCAACUCUGACCCAGCCAUGCCGCGUGCAGGAUGACGGCCCUCUGGGUUGUAAACUGCUUUUAUACGGGAAGAAAAAAUACUGCGUGUAGUAUACUGACGGUACCGUAAGAAUAAGGAUCGGCUAACUCCGUGCCAGCAGCCGCGGUAAUACGGAGGAUCCAAGCGUUGUCCGGAUUUAUUGGGUUUAAAGGGUGCGUAGGCGGAUCUUUAAGUCAGUGGUGAAAGCCUGCAGCUUAACUGUAGAAUUGCCAUUGAAACUGAAGAUCUUGAAUGUGGUUAAAGUAGGCGGAAUGUAUCAUGUAGCGGUGAAAUGCUUAGAUAUGAUACAGAACACCGAUAGCGAAGGCAGCUUGCUGAACCAUUAUUGACGCUGAGGCACGAAAGCGUGGGGAGCGAACAGGAUUAGAAACCCCGGUAGUCC
rnacentral:rRNA from 1 species